rnacentral:rRNA from 1 species
AGAGUUUGAUCGUGGCUCAGGAUGAACGCUAGCGGCGCGCUUAAUGCAUGCAAGUCGAGCGAUGAGGCUCCUUCGGGAGUGCAUCAGCGGCAGACGGGUGAGUAACACGUAGGUGACCUACCCUCAAGACGGGGAUAACGAGUGGAAACAUUUGCUAAUACCCGAUGACCUUACUAGGUCGAAGUAGUAAGGAAAGCUCCGGUGCUUGAGGAGGGGCCUGCGGCCCAUCAGCUAGUUGGUGAGGUAACGGCUCACCAAGGCAAAGACGGGUAGGGGGUGUGAGAGCAUGACCCCCCACAAUGGGACUGCGACACGGCCCAUACUCCUACGGGAGGCAGCAGCAGGGAAUCUUGCACAAUGGACGGAAGUCUGAUGCAGCGACGCCGCGUGAGUGAAGACGGCCUUUGGGUUGUAAAACUCUUUUGAGGGGGAAGAGCCAGGACGGUACCCUUCGAAUAAGCGUCGGCUAACUACGUGCCAGCAGCCGCGGUAAGACGUAGGACGCAAGCGUUAUCCGGAUUUACUGGGCGUAAAGCGUCUGUAGGCGGGUGUGUAAGUUGGAUGUGAAAGCUCCAUGCUCAACGUGGAGAGGCCAUACAAUACUGCACGCCUAGAGGGGGUCAGAGGAGUGUGGAAUUUCCGGUGUAGCGGUAAAAUGCGCAGAUAUCGGAAGGAACACCAGUGGCGAAGGCGGCACUCUGGGGCCCACCUGACGCUGAGAGACGAAAGCUAGGGGAGCGAACAGGAUUAGAGACCCUGGUAGUCCUAGCCCUAAACGCUGAAUGCUAGGUGUGGGGGCGUAGAGCCUCUGUGCCGGAGCUAAUGCGAUAAGCAUUCCGCCUGGGGAGUACGGCCGCAAGGUUAAAACUCAAACGAAUUGACGGGACCCCGCACAAGCAGCGGAGCGUGUGGUUUAAUUCGAUCUACACGAAGAACCUUACCUGGGUUUGACAUAUAGGUGGUAGGAAGCCGAAAGGCGACUGACCCUUCGGGGAGCUUAUACAGGUGCUGCAUGGCUGUCGUCAGCUCGUGCCGUGAGGUGUCGGGUUAAGUCCCGUAACGAGCGCAACCCUUGCCCUUAGUUAUACGUGUCUAAGGGGACUGCCGGCGGGAAGCCGGAGGAAGGUGGGGAUGACGUCAAGUCAGCAUGGCCCUUAUAUCCAGGGCUACACACACGCUACAAUGGGCGGUACAGAGGGCAGCGAAGUCGCGAGGCGGAGCGAAUCCUAGAAAGCCGUUCGUAGUUCGAAUAGCAGGCUGCAACUCGCCUGCUUGAAGCUGGAGUUGCUAGUAACCGCGCGUCAGCUAUAGUGCGGUGAAUACGUUCCCGGGGUUUGUACACACCGCCCGUCACGUCAUGGGAGUUGGUAACGCCUGAAGCCGGUAGCUUAACGUUAACGCGGGAGCGCUGUCGAGGGCUGGACUGGCAACUGGGACGAAGUCGU